rnacentral:rRNA from 1 species
UACGUAGGGUGCGAGCGUUAAUCGGAAUUACUGGGCGUAAAGCGUGCGCAGGCGGUUUUGCAAGACCGAUGUGAAAUCCCCGGGCUUAACCUGGGAAUGGCAUUGGUGACUGCACGGCUAGAGUGUGUCAGAGGGGGGUAGAAUUCCACGUGUAGCAGUGAAAUGCGUAGAGAUGUGGAGGAAUACCGAUGGCGAAGGCAGCCCCCUGGGAUAACACUGACGCUCAUGCACGAAAGCGUGGGGAGCAAACAGG